UACGAAGGGGGCUAGCGUUGUUCGGAAUUAUUGGGCGUAAAGGGCGCGUAGGCGGCCAUGCGUGUCUUCCGUGAAAUCCCUCGGCUUAACUGAGGACGUGCGGAAGAAACUGCAAGGCUCGAGUCCGGGAGAGGGGGGUGGAAUUCCCAGUGUAGCGGUGAAAUGCGUAGAUAUUGGGAGGAACACCGGUGGCGAAGGCGGCCCCCUGGACCGGUACUGACGCUGAGGCGCGAAAGCGUGGGUAGCAAACGGG
rnacentral:rRNA from 1 species